rnacentral:rRNA from 1 species
GACGAACGCCGGCGGCGUGCUUAACACAUGCAAGUCGAACGGAAAGGCCCUGCUUUUGUGGGGUGCUCGAGUGGCGAACGGGUGAGUAACACGUGAGUAACCUGCCCUUGACUUUGGGAUAACUUCAGGAAACUGGGGCUAAUACCGGAUAGGAGCUCCUGCUGCAUGGUGGGGGUUGGAAAGUUUCGGCGGUUGGGGAUGGACUCGCGGCUUAUCAGCUUGUUGGUGGGGUAGUGGCUUACCAAGGCUUUGACGGGUAGCCGGCCUGAGAGGGUGACCGGCAACAUUGGGACUGAGAUACGGCCCAGACUCCUACGGGAGGCAGCAGUGGGGAAUAUUGCACAAUGGGCGGAAGCCUGAUGCAGCAACGCCGCGUGCGGGAUGACGGCCUUCGGGUUGUAAACCGCUUUCGCCUGUGACGAAGCGUGAGUGACGGUAAUGGGUAAAGAAGCACCGGCUAACUACGUG